rnacentral:rRNA from 1 species
GACGAACGCUGGCGGCGUGCUUAACACAUGCAAGUCGAACGGAAAGGCCCUGUUUGCAGGGUACUCGAGUGGCGAACGGGUGAGUAACACGUGGGUGAUCUGCCCUGCACUUCGGGAUAAGCCUGGGAAACUGGGUCUAAUACCGGAUAGGAGCCAUUUUUAGUGUGAUGGUUGGAAAGUUUUUUCGGUGUAGGAUGAGCUCGCGGCCUAUCAGCUUGUUGGUGGGGUAAUGGCCUACCAAGGCGGCGACGGGUAGCCGGCCUGAGAGGGUGGACGGCCACAUUGGGACUGAGAUACGGCCCAGACUCCUACGGGAGGCAGCAGUGGGGAAUAUUGCACAAUGGGCGCAAGCCUGAUGCAGCGACGCCGCGUGGGGGAUGACGGCCUUCGGGUUGUAAACUCCUUUCGCUAGGGACGAAGCUUUUGUGACGGUACCUAGAUAAGAAGCACCGGCUAACUACGUG